rnacentral:rRNA from 1 species
GGGGAAUUUUCCGCAAUGGGCGAAAGCCUGACGGAGCAAUCUCGCGUGAGGGAUGACUGCCUAUGGGUUGUAAACCUCUUUUUUCAGGGAGGAAUCAAUGACGUGUACCCUGAAGAAUAAGCAUCGGCUAACUCCGUGCCAGCAGCCGCGGUAAGANCGGAGGAUGCAAGUGUUAUCCGGAAUCACUGGGCGUAAAGCGUCUGUAGGUGGUUUAAUAAGUCAACUGUUAAAUCUUGAAGCUCAACUUCAAAAUCGCAGUCGAAACUGUUAGANCUAGAGUAUAGUAGGGGUAAAGGGAAUUUCCAGUGGAGCGGUGAAAUGCGUAGAGAUUGGAAAGAACACCGAUGGCGAAGGCACUUUACUGGGCUAUUACUGACACUCAGAGACGAAAGCUAGGGUAGCAAAUGGGAUUAGAUACCCCAGUAGUC